rnacentral:rRNA from 1 species
AUGGAAGUGAUAAAGAAAGCUAACGCAGAUGGUAAGGGUGAUAAGAAGAAAAAGAAGAGAAAGGAAGGGAUUGAAGGAGGGAAAAGGGAGAAAGAAAAGGCAGCUCGAUCAAAGAACAAGGGUAGGCGGGUGACGUUUGCAGAUUCAGUGGUGGUUUUUAGCAUCGAAGGUCGUGAUGAUGAAGAGGGUGGAAGCAGUGGUGGGUCUGAACUUGUACAUGGACAGCGGUUUACCCUAGAAGAAGAAGCCACCCUCAUGGAAGCGAUGAGGGAUUAUGCAGAGAUGAAGCAGCUGGGAGAGGAAGGCUUAGAGAUGAUUCGUCGCUGUAGAAAAUACCCAGAGCUGAAGGGUUGUUGGAGUGAUAUAGGGAAAUCGUUACCCCAUAGACCCCACGAGGCAAUUUACAAGCGGGCACGUAUAUUACUCACUAGAAGUGAUGAGCGUAAAUGGACACAGGAAGAAUAUCACAAGAUACGACAGUUUGUCGAAAAAAAUGGCACGGACUGGAAGGCAUUGUCAGAGGAACUUGGUAAGAGUGAGAUCCAUGUUAAAGAUACUUGGAGAAGAAUAAAGCCUAAGAACUUGAAAAAGGGGAGAUGGACCCAGGAUGAGCACCAAAACUUGUUUGAUUUGGUGAAUCUUGACCUGCGUCUGAAAGCCCAUCAGGAGAAAAAUCCUGGGCAUCGUAAGCUAAGAGAUAACAUUUCCUGGGAGGCCAUCAGUGACAAAUUGACCAGCCGUAAUCACAAGAAUUGCUGCCUGAAGUGGUAUGUCACAUUAGCAUCUCCACUGGUUAAGCAAGGAGUAUGGGCGGAUAUUGAUGAUUAUCGACUGGUGGAAGCGCUUCAAAAGGUUGAUGCUGUUUGCAUUGAAGAUGUUGAUUGGGAGAGCCUUCUCGGUCACAGAUCAGGGGAGGUUUGUCGUCAAAGAUGGAACCAGAUGGUCCGUGGCAUUGGUAGCCACAGACAGAAGACUUUCAUCGAACAAGUGGAAGUGCUGUCGAAGCGUUACUGCCCAGAAAUGAUUGACUACAGGGAAUCAGAAAAUUAG